UCAAGCAAGAAAGAGCACAAGGAGAAUGCCUUGGCACUAGGAGCCGAUGAAAGACGUGGUAAGCUGCGAAAAGCUUCGGGGAGGCGCAAACAGCCAUCGAUCCGGAGAUAUCUGAAUGGGGAAACCUACUUGAGCAAACCUCAAGUAUCCAUGCGUGAAUCCAUAGCGUAUGGAAGGGAACGCUGUGAACUGAAACAUCUAAGUAGCAGUAGGAGGAGAAAGAAAACUCGAUUUCCUAAGUAGCGGCGAGCGAACGGGAAAGAGGCCAAACCGAAGGACCUGGUUCUUCGGGGUUGCGGACUGCAAUUAGCAUUGCUGAGAGAUAGACGAAUGGUUUUGGGAAAGCCAGCCGUAGACGGUGAAAGCCCGGUAGACGAAAUCUUGAAGCAGCGAGCAGGAUCCAGAGUACCACGAGACACGAGAAACCUUGUGGGAAGCCGGGGGGACCACCCCCCAAGCCUAAAUACUCCCUAGUGACCGAUAGUGAAGCAGUACUGUGAAGGAAAGGUGAAAAGGACCCCGGGAGGGGAGUGAAAGAGAACCUGAAACCUUGUGCUUACAAACAGUCAAAGGCCUACGGGCUGAUGGCGUACUUUUUGUAGAACGGUCCGGCGAGUUACUAAUGCCAGCGAGGUUAAGUGGUCAGAAGCCACGGAGCCGAAGGGAAACCAAGUCUGAAUAGGGCGUAGAGUUGGUAUUAGUAGACCCGAAACCGGGUGACCUAUCCAUGUCCAGGUUGAAGGAACCGUAAAAGGUUUUGGAGGACCGAACACACAUGUGUUGAAAAACGUGGUGAUGAGGUGUGGAUAGCGGAGAAAUUCCAAUCGAACUCGGAGAUAGCUGGUUCUCCUCGAAAUAGCUUUAGGGCUAGCCUCGAGCUGGAGUCUAACGGAGGUAAAGCACUGAACUGACGCGGGGCCCAAAAAGGUUACCAACUCAUAUCAAACUAAGAAUGCCGUCAAGAUACCCUCGGGAGUCAGUCUGCGUGAGAUAAGUCGCGUGGACAAAAGGGAAAGAGCCCAGACCGACAGCUAAGGUCCCAAAGUACGUGUUAAGUGGAAAAGGAUGUGGGAUUUCAUAGACAACUAGGAUGUUGGCUUAGAAGCAGCCAUACAUUUAAAGAGUGCGUAAUAGCUCACUAGUCGAGAAAACCUGCGCCGAAAAUGUAACGGGGCUAAAACACGACACCGAAGCUACGGAUUUCCUACUAGGUAGGAAGUGGUAGAGGAGCAUCCUGCAAGGACGAAGCCAAAGUGAGAGCGAUGGUGGACGAAACAGGAGAGAGAAUGCCGGAAUGAGUAGCGAGAUACAUGUGAGAAACAUGUAGGCCGAAUAUCUAAGGAUUCCUGGGUAAAGCUAAUCUUCCCAGGGUUAGUCGGGGCCUAAGGCGAGGACGAAAGUCGUAGUCGAUGGAUAACAGGUUGAUAUUCCUGUACUACACAUAAUCAGAACUGUGGGGACGCAGGAGGAUAGGGAAACCGGGGAAUGGAAAGACCCGGUCAAGCGCAAAGCUGUGGGAGAUAGGCAAAUCCGUCUCCUGUAAGUGAAGCGUGAUGAGGACUGAAAAAAAGUAAGGAAGUUUCCGAAUCCACACUGCCGAGAAAAGCCGCUAUUGCGUUAUGUGUACCCGUACCGUAAACCGACACAGGUAGAUGAGGAGAAAAUCCACAGGCCGACGGGAGAAGUGUUGUUAAGGAACUCGGCAAAAUGACCCCGUAACUUCGGGAUAAGGGGAGCCUCGCAAGAGGCCGCAGAAAAGAGGCACAAGCAACUGUUUAGCAAAAACAUAGGUCUAUGCGAAACCGUAAGGUGAAGUAUAUGGGCUGACGCCUGCCCGGUGCUGGAAGGUUAAAAGGAGAGGUCAGCGCAAGCGAAGCUUUGAAUUCAAGCCCCAGUAAACGGCGGCCGUAACUAUAACGGUCCUAAGGUAGCGAAAUUCCUUGUCAGGUAAGUUCUGACCCGC
rnacentral:rRNA from 1 species